AACUCCUUUACUACUUCAUUUUUCUAUUUACUCAUUUACUUCUUCACACCUACACCUACUGCGUCAUUUUACUACUUCACGCCUACAUCAAACAAGACGAAGGAUGCAUGAAGAUUAUAUCCCCAAGCUUAAUCAAGCUUCAUGACCGCAAAUAAAGCCUCUAAAAAGUUUACUAAAAUGGCAAAAUCAUUGGGAGGUUCUAGCUCCUUCAAAAGAAAGAUCACUUCAACUCCGUCGGUAUCAACAACACCUUCGAUUAGCAACUAUAAUUAUGAACCAAAUUAUCCAGAAGGGUACGACCAAGAAUUACACAAUUAUGCAGAAGAAGUGGAAAGAGAAAUACAAAUUGAUGAAGAAAAAGAACAAGAAGAGGAACCAACGACCCCAAUUGAGAUACAUAGAUCUCGACAGUCAUCAACAAGAUCACAUGAAGAACAACUAAAACAACAACAACAAAGACAAGCUCGUGGUAAACGAGUCAAUUUCCAAACUAUUGGUGCUGGUACGGGAUCUUUAACAAACAUUUGGCAAAGAAGCAUGGAAUCACAAAAGAAACUCAUGCAGCAAGCGGCAACGGGACCACAAGUGGAAGUCGACAAUGGGACAUUCCCAGCACAGGAUAUCCUUGCAAUUCCUGCUUCUACGAUUGCGUCGAAGUCUGCUUUUAGUGCAGGUAGAAGAGUUUUAGACGAAAAGAGAUCUCGUCUUGCUCCACAUAGUGUACAAUAUGUGUUUGCAAGAAAGAUUGGGAUCAAGCGGAGCUUCGAACACAAGGACUAAAGAACGAUGAUGAUCAAGGCGAUGAUGAUGAUCCAUGGAUGAUGAUGGAUACAUCUGCAUCAUCGUCAGGAGGAGAGUCAGCGGAAGCAUCUAACCAACCAGAUGAUGAUGACGAAGACGAAUAGGGUCAAUCGGACAACGAUCAAUCAACAUUCAACAACUACAAAUAAAAGGAAAAUUAAAAAUGGAACCGAUGGUCCGACCCGCCCGACCCACGAGUUGGAACCGCCGGAACCGUCUCAUGAACCGCCAAGGAACCGUUUGGAAUCGCUCGAAACCGGAACGUUCGAAUCAGGUUCCAAAUGGAACCGGAACCGGAUGGAACAGGAACGGAACCGACUCAACCCGAACCGUGGCCAUCACUAGAUGUACAAGAUGGGAGUAAUCCCAGAUUGUGUAUAGAUUUAUGAAUAUACUCUAAAUGAGGAAGAAUUGUUGGACAUUUAGAGUAUAAAAAAAGUUCAUAUACCACUCGUUUGGUUGUAGUUUGUAACAAGUGUGCUCAUAAACCCUUUUCUUCCCUCCAAUUCUCUCCUUUUUUAUCUUAAAUUGCUAUCCAAACAAAAUGUUUAUGUAAUUUCGUUAGAAUUUUGUUUGAUAAGGUUUAUGAUUACUAGUUUACUAUGAUUAUCUUUUUCUUCACAAUAUUUUUCGCAUUCAUUACUAUCAUAAAAACGAUACAACACAUACUAUUAAAAUUAACCCUAAAUUCAUUAAUCUAAUUAUCACCAUCUAAUAACAACAAGCAUAAUUGGAUUCAAACUGGUUUUUGAGAUAAUUUUAUUUAGGAUUGGAGACACUACUGAUUUUAUCAGUGAAAUCCACCUUUAAAAGCAUUCCAUGAACUCUUGAAAAAAGUGAGCUAUUUUUUAAUAUUUUUUAUAAAAGCCAUGUUUUUGAUAAAAAAAAUUAACAAAAAUAAAAAUAAACUAAUUUCCAAAAGACAUUUUUCUUAAAUUCGAACAAAACUUAACCUGAGAGGGAAACACUCGAUGUUAAUAACGGUAACCCAUAAAAAGGUCAAAUAUAAAUCAAAAAUAUAACAUAAAAAUUGUAAAAGAGGAAUUGUUAGAUGAUACUAAAAGUGAACAAUUCCAUUUUAGUUUUACAGAAUUUCCAUAUGAUAGAUUUUAGUUUUCAUGAAACAUUAUUAGUAGCACUUUUGUAAGAUUUUUCCACAUGGUAGCAUCUAAUUUAUGCACUAUCUAACUGCCGUAGUAUUUUCUGUUAAAUUCUUGUUAAUUUCUGUUUAAUUCAUCAUUUUGUAAAAUUUUUCCGCAUGGUAGCAUCCAAUUUUGCUCUUAAAUGUUUAAUUCACCAAAUUAACGUUUCAUUCACCGAUUAAUUUAACAAAGCUCUUAAAUGUUGUAACUAUUUUAUUUUCAUUUCAAAUUAUUGGCAUUAUAAAGUUCAAAAGGUGCAUUAUAAAUACUAAUAAAUAAGUCAAAAGGUGCAUUUUAUAAGCUCAAAAAGUGUAUUUCAUAAGUUUAAAAAGUGCAUUCUAAGCACUAAUACGUAUCUACUUAAUUGUUACAACAUUUAAGAGCGUUGAUACAUUAAUCAGUGAAUUAAACAUUAAAAUAGUGAAUUAAACAUUUAAGAGCAAAAAUAAAAUGCUACCAAGUGGAAAAAUCUUACAAAAUGAUGAAUUAAACGUAAAUUAACAAGAAUUUAACGGAAAAUACUACGGCUUAGAUAGUGCAUAAAAUGAAUGCUACAAUGUGGAAAAAUCUUACACAAGUGCUACCACUAGCGUUUCAUGAAAAUUAGAUGAUACCAUGUGGAAUCUCCCUUAAUUUUAUUUGUUUUUAAUUUCAUUCUCAUCACACAACUCAUCUUCAUUAUUCUUUGGAGCAUCUUCUUCGCUUUCAUCCAUCAUUUUCCAUCGGUUCUAAGAACUUGCGAACGUGAUCUCAAUAACACCACCAACUCAUCUUCAAUAAGCAUUCAUCAUUUUACCAACAUAUAUUAUCUUUAAUCAUUACGGUUAACAAUUACUAACCAUCAUCACAAUCUUCACUAUCAAUUAUAUCCAUUUUCCUUUCAUUCUGUUAAAUUAGUAUCAUGAAGGAAUAAAAUAGACUAAUAAUAAUCCUAGAUACAUGUAAACCCAUGAAAUUAUAUAUAACAACAUCAUAAACAUAAAUUAUGUAUAAACAAUAGUGGCCAUGUUUAAUGUUAGAAGACCUCUUGAUCGAAGUGCAAGUUAGGGCUUACAAAUGCAAUGUAUUGUAUUUUAUGUGAUCCCUUUAUGUCGCCAUAGAUGAGAACUAGAUACAUAAAUUGUAACUACUAAAUUAAAACGAUAUCACAUCACUUUAAUUUUUUUCGUGUCAUGAACAUUCCGAAUUUCAUCUCUGAUUAUUCUCAUUCUUUCUUAUGUCUAUUAUACAUAGACUAAUAUGAGAACAAAAAGAUGUGCCUUUUCACUUAGUGCAAUCACUAACAAACACAUAUAUUAGGGUCAUAAUAUUUCACAAAUGAACUUUAGUGUAAUAUAUCUAAUUUAUCCUGUCAUCAAAAUAGAUCAUUACAACGAUAUGUACAUUUUAUACUAUUCAUGACAUUAUCGUCAUUAAGCCUAAUGUAUCUUUGAUACACCAAUUUGGCAUUGACUUACAAAUGAUGAUUAACCCGUUUUCUUUAUAACAUAUCAGGUCAAAUAUAAAUUUGAACAAAUUUGAUGGUUGUUUAUUUGGUGGUUCUUAGAAAAUAAUUAUCAAACACAAGAAUAGGAUUAUCAAACAAGUAUGAUAAAAGACUAGUAAAGGGAACUAAGUUGAGAAUGCAUGAAUCGAGAUAAACAUAAAAAUAAAGUCUUGGUGGUAUGAUGGGCAGAACUUCUAUAUCUUACUCUACUAAGGCUAAAGGUGAAAUCAAGUAAAUGACCUAGCGUCAAAGAUAGGAUUAUUCAUGGGUCGUGAACAAGAAUAGGUUGAUUGUUGCUAAGGUUUGAACUCAUCGUCUCACUAAACUAGGUUCUUUUGGAGGUAGAAGUGACCCUUGAUCAUGCACCAUGGCCCAUAUGACAAUAACUCUAAGACGUUUCUCAAUCAACACUCGAAACAUGUAUUUUUUACUCAUAAGUCCCCCUAUUAGAGGGAGAUCUACUUACUCAUCAUGGUAUAAGAAAAUAACAACUCUAUUUUUAGAAUGUUUUUAACUAAAAAAUGUAAGAAUAACAAUAAAAGUUAAACUCAACAAAAUAACUCCUAAACAUGAGUUUCUAGAGUUAAACCAACAAACUAGGCAAGAAGUAGAAUUUACAACAAGCGAACGAAGUAAUGGAAACCAUCCCGCAGAAAUAACUUACUACCACUUUUGAGGUGGAGUAAAACCAUGGACUAAAAUGAAGAAAUAUUGAACUCUUUAAUUAAUAAACCAACAAACCUUUGAAUUCUUGGGGUUGAUGUUUUCAAAAGUGCCCUUCAAAAACUCAAUGUUUGAUUACAAUAACCAUUAGAAUUAAUAUAACAAGAACUUGAACUAAUUAAAGCUCUAAGGUAGAAGAAAAGUGAUAAUGAGAAAAACUAUGCCAGAAGAUAUAAUAGAUGUUAAAUGAUUCAGUGAUAAAGAAGAUGUAAUGGGAUUAAUGUGUGGAGAAAUGGCAAAACUCUAAAGCAUGCUUUUAUAGAACAAAAAAUCAAAAGGUUAGGGUUAGGGCCAACCACCAUCAUCAAUGAUUCCCAACAAAUUUUCAUACUUUUCUCUAAGCUAAACAUGAAGGAAGAUGGUGUAAAUAGCUCUUCAUUGUGUUCAAAAAUAGGAGAAUAACAUAGAAGAGGAAGAAAUGGGAAAGUGGAACUACGAACCCUGAGUCUACGGAGUGUCACCAUCAACACCAAGGGUGACUUCAAGGUUGAGGAACUACGAAUGUUUAGGGUAGCACAUAUGUACAAUGCAUUUCUAUAGAUCCAUCAGCUGCAACCAGCAAGCGGCAUGAUUUCAUCAUAUGAUUAUCAAGUCUUGAAAUUGUUACAAUAUUUACCAAAUCAGAAACUUAUGAUCAAAUUCAUCCAUAAUAUUGUUUCGAAAAUAUUCAAAAACAUACAUUUUGAUUCUUAAAAAAAAUCAGUAUAUGUGUAUCGUCAUUUUUGAUUUCAAUCGUGUUGAUUUUGAGAUAUAAAAUGGUCAAAUUCUUGCAUUAAUUAAUCCAUUUGAUUUCAAUUGUUAAUCGAAGAGAAACUUAGGUUUUUGUGAUUUGUUAUUUCAAAACAGAAUUGGACAUUUUUUUUUAUAUUCGUGAAGUAUAUAUACAACAGCUAUAUAUGCUAUUUUUAGGGUUUAUAUGCAAUUUGAGACAAAUCAAAUUCACCAGAACCCGUUACCAAUUUUAAAUCACUUCUUCCAGUGAAUUUAGAUUCUAAGAUGUAAAUUUUUAAUGUGGAAAAUCCUCACUAACCAAUAGGACAAGCAUUAUGCUUUACCCAUA